AAAUUUGAAAGAAACAAAAAUCUAGAAGAAACAAAAAAACAAACAUACCAACAGAACCUUGCACCUCUCAACAAUUUUUCUGUCACGAAGGUCCUCAUACUCUUUUACGGUCAAACCAAGCGUAGCUGCAGUUAUCUCUCGCCGUUCUUUGUAACCUGAAAAAAGAAACACCAAAGAGUAAGCUACAGAGCAUACAAUACAAAAGAGUAAACAAGCACAUACAGGUCCAGGGAGUUUGGAACUCCCACCAGAAGCUUAAAAGAGAGUAGCAUACUGGACAGAAAGGCUCUAAUCAAAGAAAUCCUACCUCCAAGAGAAGGGGAAAAAAAGCCCCUUGCAACAAUCAAAUCUCCUAGACACUCGUUCAACAACCAAAUCCCAAUACUCCAAACUCAAUUUCGCUGUUUUGAUCUUUAAUUUUGAUUCUCUCUCAGUGCUGGCAAUUUUAUGGAAAACCACCAAUUACAUGACUAAUUUCUUAUUACUGUUGUUGAUUAUGCUACUUAUCAUCAUCUAAUAAUCAGUCGAAACUAUCACAAUUACCAGUCCAUCCAAAUCUUCAUAAAUCUUUACUUUUUACUCCACUGAAUAUACCUUCCUAAUUCAGCAUGAAUACAGACUGAAGCAAGUAGCUCAUUUCUGAAAACAGACGAUAAACAGGAGGCCUCCAUGAUUGAUGAUACUGAGCUCCCAGGCUUAUUAAAGUAAAAACAACCUUAUAAUGAUGAGCUUACCAUACAUCCUGGUCAAGAAACAGAGUGAGAAGUGAAGGAAGGAAGAGUAUUCUAUAGAGUCACAUAGUUAUCUCAACUAUCUUUGAUAAUCUUAACUCUCAAAUUCAAUUAAAUAAUUCUCUCAGAUUAAAUUAAUUCAAGUUUGUUAUUAAAAUUCAGUUAUUUCAAGUUUGAAGAUUAAGUAUUUAUUUUGGAAAAUUCAUUAAUUUUUAAGAUCAAGUUACUCAAGUUGGUAACAUUUAAUUUGUUGGCAUUAUAAAGUUAUUGUCACAUAGUUCUUGUUGCAUUUGAUUUGUUAUUUAAAUUAGUUGAUUCACAAAAAAUGGAAAGUUCCUCAGACCAUACUUCUCAAAAUGCAUACAAUUUGAACCCUCAAGCCGAAGGUUCUCAAGAAACAAAAUUAAAAAUAAACGCAGGCAUAAUUGUUUGGAAACAUUUUAUAAAAUAAGUAGAUGGAAAAUGUAAAGCUGGAUGUUAUACAGCAAUGAUCUGUUUACUAUGGAAAAAUGUUGAAAUGAAUUUCAUAAUACAGAUCUCAGACAUGCAUGUGGUUUACACACACCAGAAGAUGAUUGGGAAGUUGUGGAAAUCUUUAUGCGAAGUUUUACAGACUUUUUCUACAGGCCCAGUCCCAACCCAGACUUAGGGAAACGGGCCUGGUUCAGGGAUAGGUCCAUGACUUGUAUUGUUUUGACCAAACCAGGCCCUUUACGGUAACAAAUUCAAUAGGUGCUCAUAUUUUCUACCCGUAUCUCAGCAAAGUCUCUUGCAUAAUCCUUCUCUGAUAAGACAUUCAAACUUACAUAGUGUAUACCAUUUCCAUAGAAACUGACAGGGACCCUAAUUUGAGUGAGUUCUGGCAGAGUUUGUUCAAAUAGGUGUGAACCAGAUUAAACUUAAGCACCACAAACCAUCUCCAAGAUAAUGGAUGGACUAUGAGAGUAAACCAGUGCUUAGAGCCAUACCUCAUGUGCAUGUAUAGCCAUCCCCCAAAACUGUGUAGCACCUGGAUAAAAUGGCAAGUGCAGCACCUAAUUACCUCUGGGCAACACCAUACUGCAUAAAACAGCGUUUUAGCAUAUGUAGCUUACCGUCUACCGCAUUCACGUAUCCCUUAUCAUACUUUUUGCUCUCAACACCUCUCCCUAAUGUGGUCUAUGGAUAAGAGCUAAAUGUACCCUGGAUUUCAUCCUGCUCUAGGCUUUUAGCAGGAUGAAAUCUCAAAUCAUAUGCUUUGUAAUUCAUGUUUAUUUUAUUAUAUUCAAAAUCAAGAUAGCUCUCAAGUUACGAGACUCCCCUGACCCCUUUCCUCACCCCUAUUAUCUCCUCUUUUAUUCCCUUUCUUCCUUAACAGGCUAUCAUUCUAAACUCUCUUUCGUAAUCUAUCAAUUUGAUGAGUUAGGAUAAUUCAUUUAAAUCCUACCAUAUUAUGUAAAUCCUUAAUCUUUUUCCGGCUCCUAAUCCGUCCAUGAUUUCUGGUUACUAUGCAACUCCAAAAUUUUAUCCACUAUUGCCCAAAAUCCUAGUUCAUUCUUUUCGACCUCAAUGGAACCUGCAGCCACUAACCAUAGGGUGCUCACUAGAUAAACCAUCGGGUGCACACAAUACCCAAAAAACCAUGAACACCAUGUAAUCCCAUGGAAAGAUAUGUGUGGGUGGCUCCAAAGAUAUCAAUGUCUAUUGAACUCAUGACCCAUGCUUUGCCAAGCACUUAUCACUAGUGAUACAAUCCUGACCAGGCUUGCAUCAAGCAUCAACGAUUCAACUCGGGUUCAAGGGAUUCAAACUGUGAUCUUAAGAGAUUGGGCUAAAUUUGACUCAAGUAUGCUUACAUUAGAGCUAAAGUCAAUACAUCGGAACAGUGUUCAUUUGUGUUGCCUAGUCAUCGACAAAGUUAUGUUUCAGUUCAUGGAGAGGUUACAUACUUUUAUUCUACAUCACGAGUUUGAAUUGCGUGGAAUGAAGGUCGAGGAUUCGAGUUAUUUGACAAGGCGUUCACUAUGGGGUUUGCGUCUACGUUAGUUUGUUCAGGUAAUAUGGAGAUUCAAUUCCAAUCGAGAAAAUGAAUGAGGGAGCGAAGGAUUGCAUUUGAAACUUGAAAACAUCAAGAAUCCGAGAUUCCAGACCAACGCGACCGAGCCGAGAUCCAGGCCAAAAGCAGCGACACCGCGCCGUGCUCAAAUGGCUCUUUACUAGUUGAGCGCGGCCGUGCCCAACUGCAGUUUAUUUCCAGCGCGGCCACGCCGUUGGGGAAAUUUUGUUAACGCGUUUUCUACUGAUUUGGACGCGGAUUUACCUCAUAAAUUAGGGUUUUCAAUAUAUUUUCAUAUUUCUAAUGUAUUUAGGAUAUUUCUAAUGUAUCUAGGAUUUGAUUUCCUUAUUAUUUGUUAACUAGGAUUUCUAUUUCCAUUCAAAUUCUUAUUCAUUAUAGAAUUAGGGUUUAUUCUGUAAGUAUAAAUAGAAUACAUGGCUGAUGUAUUACAUUAUUAGAUUUUAAUUAAUAAAAUUCAUAGUGAGAUUAUUCUCCUUUUGAUUCUUCAAGAAUUCCUGAAUUGUUCAUAGUUUUUCUGUGAGAUUCAAACCUGACUUAUCAUAAAACAGGUCAUAGUUGUGUGUGACGUCUUCUACCGCAUCAAUCGUCGAUUGUACUGAGAUUACCGUUUAUAUAUAAGCGAGGGGUCAGGGUGUCGUUGGUGUCCAUUUAACGCAGAAUUCCUAACGCGAACAAUUGUACCAAGAUUACCGUCUACAUAUAGACGAGGGGUUAAGGUGUUGCGAGCAAACCAUCCUACAACUUUUUUGGAAACGAUUCGGGCGAUAACCACCUAACGCAAGCGUGCCGUGGGAUUUGUCAACUAGGUUCACUACCAUUUGACCUAACUUUGGGGUUCCCAAAAUCCUAAUACUUAGAAUCCUUUGAUCAUCUUUUGUCUUAUCUUCUAAUAAAAAUGUAAUCAAUGUUCCAACAAUGCAUACAUAUACUCCCCCUACCCAAGUGUGUGGCAGCAAAAAAGUAACGGUGUUGGUGAAAACAAACACCUUCACUAUUUCUAUGCAAGGCGGCAUCAGAAAAUGUCAAUUACUAAAAACAUACAUCGAAAACCCAGCGACAUGUGAAGCAUGAAGAAAGAGAAAACAAGAUUUCAGGUUGAAGUUUUAAUUGUAUAAGAAAACCUAUCCGAAUAUUUCACAUUAUUUGUCCACUGCAAGUAAUCAGAAGUACUCGUUUUUUACCCAAGACUUCUGACCUUGAACCUCCCCGGCUAGCGGCAGGAAUCAGCAUAGACCAUGCAACUUAACAGCUGGUUAUGAUUAAAGGAGUGAACUUACUGAGAUGUCUUCUGAGUAAGAUGAGAUUCAUCUGGAAACUGGAGAGAUUUCA
rnacentral:lncRNA from 1 species